AUAUAAGCAGUGCACUGAAGUAUGGUGGCUGUGUGUUUCUGUAAACUUAUAACUUGAUAUUGUGACAGAGGAGAACCUAUCAACUGUUCUACUGUGUGUAGGAUCUUUAUACAGCGCUGUAGGUCUAAUGUGUGUAUGACAUCAUUUUGACAUAUCUCACCAAAUAAUUGUACAUCAAACUCAGCCUCAGAGAUCAGAGUGUGUUCAUCAGUACACACCGUGAGUCUGGGAUUACAGAGGACAUCAAUGAUAGAGGACCUGAUGGAGGGACUAUGUAGCAGCAUUGAUAUACCCUUCUCAUACAACCCAUACAGUCGCCUGAAUAAACUUGUUUGUGCUUGGCCAUGGAUUUUACUCAGAAACAUGUUGUUUUCCGGAAUGAAAAAGUUUGGACUAAUUCCUUUAUACACCCAUUUAAGGAGAAGUUUGAAGCAGACCCAGAAACCGGACAGGAGAUUUUGUGGACACCACUGAGGUAGAGUGUUUUGUUGAAUGGCCCAAAAAACAGCUGUUUUCAUGUGACAUGACAGAUAUGAUGCUCAAAGAAUCUGUUUGGGACAGAGGAAAUGUGAAGAGUUGGCCAAGCUGAGACUUUUCAUGGUGGGAUGCGGUGCUAUUGGGUGUGAAAUGUUGAAGAAUUACGCUCUGCUGGGGAUAGGCCAGAAAGACAGAGGAUGUAUUACCAUUACAGACAACGAUCUGAUUGAAAAAUCCAACCUCAACCGUCAGUUUCUGUUCAGACCUUCUGAUAUACAGAAACCUAAAAGUACCACUGCAGCUGUUGCUGUUCUGCAGAUAAAUCCAGAGCUGAAUAUAGAGGCACAACAACAGAAAGUGUGUCCACAGACAGAAGACAGGUUUUAUAACGACGCCUUCUUUGAGAACCAGGAUGUUGUGGUGAAUGCCCUUGACAAUAUCGAGGCUCGACGCUAUGUGGACAGUCGGUGUGUGACCAAUCAAAGAGCGUUGUUGGAGAGUGGAACCCUGGGAACUAAAGGUCACGUACAGGUCAUCAUACCUCAUCUCACAGAGUCCUACAGUAGUCAGAGUGACCCGAGUGACGAGAGUGUUCCCUACUGCACCUUGAAGUCAUUUCCUGCUAAUAUUGAACACUGCAUACAGUGGGCGCGAGACAAGUUUGAGAGCUCCUUUGCCGUGAAGCCCGACUUGUUCAAUAAAUUUUGGAAACAGAAUGGACAAGUGACUGAAGUUAUUCAAGUAUGUGUAGAAAAAUUGUAACUUUACUUUAUAAAUAUAUUUUGAUUAUAUGUUUUGGCUUAGUUUUUAAUUAGUUAACAUAUAAAAGUUUUCAAAUAGUUAUUACAUGUACAGUCCACAGAGCUGGUUAUUUAGGAAGAUAUUAGUUUUCAGAAUUGUGAGCGAUCUGGGUAUGUCUAACUUUUCUCUGUUAUUUUAGCAAUUUUGUAAAAAAAAAAAUUUAUGAUUUUAGCAAUAAAACAAUUUUUUGUUAUAAUUUUAGAGAUUCUAUAAUUGUUCAACAACAAGUAUGCACCAGCUUAACUGAUUUUGAUCUUUGUUUGACAUUACAUUAUUACUGCCAUAUGCAUUAGUUUCAGCAAAACUAAGUGAAAAUAAACCCCCUUCUCCCCCAAAAAAUAAAUAAUACGCAAGUCAUUUUUGCAAGAAUUUGUUCACACUCUUAGUAUUUGUCCUUUUUAGUGUAAUAUUUUGAUAUAUUUAGAAAUUGAAGAAUGGUCAAUCACUAGAUGGCGCUGUCCAGGUUAGCAAAAUGGCCGCCAACAGGAGGGCCACAUGGUGCCAGUGUGUUCAGCUAGCUCGCCUCAAGUUUCAGAAAUACUUUAACCACAAGGCAAAACAUCUCCUUCAUGUGUUUCCUCUGGACACAAAGAUGCAAGAUGGCUCUCUAUUUUGGCAAUCUCCCAAGCGGCCUCCGAUUCCUCAGGAAUUCAACAUUCAAAACCCUGUACAUUUCCAGUUUGUUGUAAGCACAGCUCGACUUUAUGCUGGAGUCUUCAACAAUCCAGUCAGCUCCAAGGAUACAUCAAUUACAACUAUAAACUCAGUCAUAGAAAGCAUGGACAUUCCUGACUACCGACCAACAAAUAAAAGAAUUCUGACCGAUGAAUCUGUCUCUAAACCAAUGGACGACACAACAGGAAGUGGGGAUGAUUUACUGGACGCCGCUAAUCGCCUGCAGGCGUCACUUAAUGAGGACAAGGUCACACACGUGCUGAGUCCAAUGAAUCCCGUGGAGUUUGAGAAAGAUGAUGACACCAAUGGACACAUAGACUUUAUAUCUACAGCAGCGAACUUACGAGGAGCUAUGUACAACAUUGAGAGCAUUGAUAGACUGCAAGCCAAGAGAAUAGCUGGUAGAAUUGUUCCUGCCAUAGCCACUACCACGGCGACCGUCAGUGGGUUGGUCACCAUAGAGCUGAUUAAGCUGUUGGACAAAUUACCCCUGGAGGUGUAUAAGAAUGCCUUCCUCAACCUUGCUCUUCCAGUAAUUGUACUGUCUGAGCCAGGACAGGUGGAGAAAACUGUGAUAAAAGAGGGACUGACAACAACCAUGUGGGACCGGUGGGAGGUUCACGGAACAGCCGAUUUUACACUCCAGCAAUUCCUUCAAUACUUUAAGGAUAAAUACGGGUUAGAGGUUACCAUGGUCAGUCACGGAGUGAAGAUGGUGUAUGUACCGUUUAUGCCAGGCCACAAAAAACGUCUGCCACAACAAAUGGUGAAGUUGUUAAAACCUUCUUCAGGACAGCUGUAUAUGGACCUGAUCAUUAAUUUAGAAGGAAAUGAGGACGACGACAUUGCCUGUCCGCCCGUCCGGUAUUACUUCGGGGUUUAACGACGGCUGAUUAUAGGACCAUCUUCUAGUGCUAUUACAGGACUUUUUUUAUUUAUAUAUGGUUUUAUAAACUGGAUGACAAUAUAUAUCUUAUUCAUAUGUUUUGUUUGUGAAAAAAAUGUUAGCUGUGAAUAAAAUACAUGUAUAUCUGUAUUCAAGAGAGAGAGAGAGAGAGAGAGAGAGAGAGAGAGAGAGAGAGAGAGAGAGAGAGAGAGAGAGAGAUGUCUCGUAUAUAGGAAGAAUAGAUGUACAUUUAUCUUGAUAAUUGAUGAGGUUUUCAUAUUUUGUUUACCUACAUGAUAAAUUUUAUUAUUGCUAUGAUAUCUUUAGUUACUAAAAUGUAGAUCAUGUUUUGUAAUUUAUUGUUGGACUGCAUUACUUCACAGUCAUUGAUCGGUAUUUUUAAUGAAAACGAUCUUGUAACAAAAAAGGAAUAUACUGAACCGGAGUAUUAAUGAUACGAAUUAAAAUUAGAUGGAU
rnacentral:misc_RNA from 1 species